UACGUAGGGUGCGAGCGUUGUCCGGAAUUAUUGGGCGUAAAGAGCUCGUAGGCGGUGUGUCACGUCGGCCGUGAAAACCUGGGGCUUAACUCUGGGCGUGCGGUCGAUACGGGCAUCACUAGAGUUCGGCAGGGAGACUGGAAUUCCUGGUGUAGCGGUGAAAUGCGUAGAUAUCUGGAGGAACACCCGUGGCGAAGGCGGCCACCUGGGCCGACCCUGACGCUGAGGCGCGAAGGCGUGGGAGCGAACGGG
rnacentral:rRNA from 1 species